rnacentral:sRNA from 1 species
CACACUGGCUGAGCGCGGAGUUCUGCUUACUUCAGUCCUGCUGAGAUACUCUCUCAGUCCGCUCGCACCGAAGGAAGCUGCCUUGGGAUCAGAGCAGACAUAAAGCUAGAAAAAUUUCAAGAUGAAAUUGAAAUGGCCAAUGAGCACACGCUCAUUCAUCCAGCGAGCAUUGAGGACCCCCUAGAGGCCAGGCCCAUGAGUGAUGAAGAUCCCGAGGAUGAAGACGCCUUGCCAGCCAGACAGAAACAGUCUCCGCCAGUCAAGAAACCCUCAAAAGUAUUUUGCCAUGGAUAUAGAAGAUGAAGAAAACAUGAGUAAGAUCUAGGCCUAUCACGUAGUAUCAGAUAGCUAAUUUUAUGUUAACAUUUUGGUGUUUUUGCAAAUGUAUU